UACAGGGGGUGCAAACGUUGCUCGGAAUCAUUGGGCGUAAAGCGCACGUAGGCGGUUUGUUAUGUCGGAUGUGAAAGCCCUUGGCUCAACUGAGGAAGUGCAUCCGAAACUGGCAGCUAGAGUACUAAAGAGGGUCGCGGAAUUCCCGGUGUAGAGGUGAAAAUUCGUAGAUAUCGGGAGGAACACCGGUGGCGAAGGCGGCGACCUGGGUAGAUACUGACGCUGAGGUGGCGAAAGCGUGGGGAGCAAACAGG
rnacentral:rRNA from 1 species